rnacentral:ncRNA from 1 species
AGGAAAACGAUGAAGGAACGAGUAUGUUUCAGACCAUCUGACAAGAGAGGGGCUUGUACGCUGAGAGAGCUCUGAGAUGAAGGGAAACAGAAGGCUAUUCCGGAGUGCAGGCAAACCCUGCCGGUGAAACCACGUUACGGUUUUAAUGAAGUGAUGGACUAUUAUGUCUAUAAUCAGGGUGGUACCGCGAGCAAUCUCUCGUCCCUGUG